GCGGACGGGUGAGUAAUGCCUAGGAAUCUGCCUGGUAGUGGGGGAUAACGCUCGGAAACGGACGCUAAUACCGCAUACGUCCUACGGGAGAAAGCAGGGGACCUUCGGGCCUUGCGCUAUCAGAUGAGCCUAGGUCGGAUUAGCUAGUUGGUGGGGUAAUGGCUCACCAAGGCGACGAUCCGUAACUGGUCUGAGAGGAUGAUCAGUCACACUGGAACUGAGACACGGUCCAGACUCCUACGGGAGGCAGCAGUGGGGAAUAUUGGACAAUGGGCGAAAGCCUGAUCCAGUCUCUAUGCCGCGUGUGUGAAGAAGGUCUUCGGAUUGUAAAGCACUUUAAGUUGGGAGGAAGGGCAUUAACCUAAUACGUUAGUGUUUUGACGUUACCGACAGAAUAAGCACCGGCUAACUCUGUGCCAGCAGCCGCGGUAAUACAGAGGGUGCAAGCGUUAAUCGGAAUUACUGGGCGUAAAGCGCGCGUAGGUGGUUUGUUAAGUUGGAUGUGAAAGCCCCGGGCUCAACCUGGGAACUGCAUUCAAAACUGACAAGCUAGAGUAUGGUAGAGGGUGGUGGAAUUCCUGUGUAGCGGUGAAAUGCGUAGAUAUAGGAAGGAACACCAGUGGCGAAGGCGACACCUGGACUGAUACUGACACUGAGGUGCGAA
rnacentral:rRNA from 1 species